GGCAUGAGAGAACGAAGAAGAGAAAGAUACUCAUUCAUUUGUUUUCUUCUGUUACGUUCAACAGCAAUUUGAGAAGGUCUUUGAUUGAAACAUAAGCAAAAGGGUGUUGUGGUUGUUGUGGAUAUAUCACUGCUUCUAGUGCCAUGUUUCUAUGCAAACACAUGUCAAAGAUUUUUCAUGUUCAGAGAUUAUUGCAGUGAAAGAAAGAAAGAAUUGAGUCUUCUUGACAAGUAUUUUUCUCAAGUUUUUAAAGGGAUUUGAAGUGAAGAUAC